rnacentral:rRNA from 1 species
UACGUAGGUGACAAGCGUUGUCCGGAUUUACUGGGCGUAAAGAGCGCGCAGGCGGUCGAUCAAGUCGAGUGUGAAAGCCCCCGGCUCAACUGGGAGGGUCAUUCGAUACUGAUCGACUCGAAGGCAGGAGAGGGUAGUGGAAUUCCCGGUGUAGUGGUGAAAUGCGUAGAUAUCGGGAGGAACACCAGUGGCGAAGGCGACUACCUGGCCUGUUCUUGACGCUGAGGCGCGAAAGCUAGGGGAGCAAACGGG